rnacentral:misc_RNA from 1 species
UCGGUAAUUUUAAGUCGGAUACAUCAUUCUCUUGAAAGUACACAUUGAGACAAUUCCUAUAUACAUGUUCUUUAAUGCGUUUUUGGUUUAGUUAUUUUUUACUGUUCCCAUUUUUGUUGCCUUUUUUUUUGCAAGUAAAUAAAAUGGAAAUCUGCUCGUUGGGUUCCCCCCCCUGGAAUAGGGGUCUUCGGGUCCUAUCAAAUUAUCUGCG